UACGAAGGGGGCUAGCGUUGUUCGGAAUUACUGGGCGUAAAGGGCUCGUAGGCGGCCAACUAAGUCAGACGUGAAAUCCCCAGGCUCAACCUGGGAACUGCGUCUGAUACUGGAUGGCUUGAAUCCGGGAGAGGGAUACAGAAUUCCAGGUGUAGCGGUGAAAUGCGUAGAUAUCUGGAGGAAUACCGGUGGCGAAGGCGGCAUCCUGGACCGGCAUUGACGCUGAGGAGCGAAAGCCAGGGGAGCAAACGGG
rnacentral:rRNA from 1 species